UGGCGACUAGUUCAAUUGGCAGAACGUCUGGCUCUGAACCAGAAGGUUGCAGGUUCGACCCCUGCGUCGCCAU
rnacentral:tRNA from 1 species